UACCUGGUUGAUCCUGCCAGUAGUCAUAUGCUUGUCUCAAAGAUAAAGCCAUGCUGGUGUAAUAAUGACCUAUUUCAAACGGUGAAC
rnacentral:rRNA from 1 species